AUUGAACGCUGGCGGCAUGCCUUACACAUGCAAGUCGAACGGUAACAGGUUAAGAUCAUGAUUGGAGAAGGGGCGAGUGUCGUAUGGGUGCGUGCCCCAUCGGGGGGGAUAUUUGCGUGAAAGAGAAGAUAGUACAGCUUACGACCUGAGGGCAAAAGACCUGCAUCGGAAAGCAUCGCACCUUCGGACCGUGCGCGGUUAGAUUAGGUAAUUGGUGUGGUAAAGGCUCACCAAGCCGACGCUCGGUAGCUGGUCUGAGAGGACGACCAGCCACACUGGGACUGAGACACGGCCCAGACUCCUACGGGAGGCAGCAGUGGGGAAUAUUGGACAAUGGGCGCAAGCCUGAUCCAGCCAUGCCGCGUGGGUGAAGAAGGCCUUCGGGUUGUAAACCGCUUUUGUCAGGGAAGAAAAGGAUCUGGCUAAUACCUCGGUCUCAUGACGGUACCUAAAGAAUAAGCACCGGCUAACUUCGUG
rnacentral:rRNA from 1 species